CUAGUUAAAAAGUGGGCACGCAGGCCUUUUUAUAUGCAAAAUGACAUCAUCAUUGAAUAUCAGAUAAUAACAAAUAAACAUCAUUAAUUGGGUUAAAUGUUAAGUGGCUAUGUCAGUGUCCACCCAUUAAUAUUAUUAAUUGGUUCAGAGAUUUGAGUGACUAGUGAGGCACCCUCCCAUCAUGGGAUGUCGUCGCCAUUGCUCUUUAGCACGAGGC